AGAUUCUAUUUUAUUGGCCUGGUAUCACAGCCUUAAAAAUUCAAGGGGAAAAGCCAAACCGAUUGAAAGCCAGGGAACAUAGCGGCAAGCACCACAGAGUACAAGUUCCCCUCCAUGACUCUGAGGCUCAAAUGGGAAAAGGAGAGAUGUCUGCUUUGAUUUCUUUCCUUUUAAUUAAUCAUGAUCACAAAGCAAUCUCCACCCUGUCCCUGGGAUUUAAGAUACUGGUUAAACUCCACCGUGUCCCGAAUUCUCCAUCGAAGGUGGAGGAGUGUUCAGAAUCUAAAGUCCGCCCGCGGACCAUUAAAAACCUCUAGGUCUGUGCCCUCAUUUUUAAUACUCAAAGGCUCACCCCGAGCCGCCACGCAGUACACUCUUCUCUAUUUGCUGGGCCAGUUUUGGAAAUUAGAAGGGGUUUGUCUCUUUGUUAGCAAUCUGUUUACUUUCUUCUGAUACAAUGAAGCAUCAGGUUCAAGGUGACAAGGCUUCUUGGUUUAGUCAUUUUUACCCAUCUUCCUCUUUGUAGAUGAUGUUUUUUCAUUUUCAAUUGUAUUUUUUUCAUCAAUGCCAUCUCCCGAACAGCAUUUUAAAAAUAAAAUUUCCAAGUCCUUUUUUUAUGUGGUUCCAGUCAAAUGAUUUACCCACACCCCAAAUAAUACUAUUUACAUCCAAUAUUAAUAGCUGCCUAUCAGUAAUUCUUAAAGAUCUUCUGAUCCAUAUUUAACAAUUUAAAUGAUGGCUAACAUUAUUGACAGGCAAAUGCCUGAACCAAUAGUUUGUGGACUAGUUGCCAGCCAGAUGACAGCCAGGUACACUCAGGGAUAAGAACAUAAUUAGUUUCUGCCCUAGUCUCUUCAACUGUAGAAGGCAGACAGCACUCUUUCUCACCUUCCAGGGAAGCAGAUUAGCAGAUUAACAAAAUGAUGUAAAUCACACAAGGUUUAAAUCCCCCUUCCCCUUCUAAUACCUAUUUAGGAAAACUUUAAAAUUUUUCUUUUAGGCAUCUAGUCUUUCUGUGGUUUAGCCACAUGCUCUCCCCUUUUUGGCUUUAUCCUUCUGUAAAGUAAGGAAGGUGAAAGAGCAUAUUAGGAGUUUUUCUUAUAGCUUUCCUGUGUUUGAGUGGAUCAUCCUGUUGCCGUCGUUUUAGUCCAGUUGUUGUUAGUUCAUGUUCUUACCACCCACCAAAGAAUAGCACAGGAUUAAGUUUAUACUAAUAAAUGAUGUUCAUGAGGAGGUUUUUAAAUGCCAGAGUUAUGAUUUAUUUUUUUAAAUGGGUGGAGAAAGGGGAGCGGCAAUAAAACUAGCUCCCAAGUCAUUCAAAAUCCUUGGUUUCACACAUCUAUGUGGGCUUUUCUUUGUUUUGGUCUUUAAGUUUUUUGGACAUACCUCUUAUUUCCCUGUAAGUCCUAUUAUCAUGGACCAAAUGCUUUUUUUGACUAUCUUUGUCCAUAGCUUGAAACCCUGUUUAUUACAGUUAAAUUUAUAGAAAGUAUUAUAUGGUCCUCUUUUCUACUUCCUAAGAGUUUAUAAUUGUCCCUGUUUAUCUCCCCACCCAUUAAGAAUUCUGUAAUAAAUCCCUGCACCAAAUAAAUUAAAAUCUGCAACUUCAGACACCCGAGGAAGAGGACAUUAAUCCACUUAGUAAAAUACUCAAGACCUCCCCCUCUCAAUUUCAGCUCUUCUUAAUGUAACAUUCAGUAAUUACAGCUGGCUCCUUAUACUUCCCUCCCUCCCUUUUAUUCUGAAUCAUAUUGGCCUUGCUUAACCUUCAUUUCCUUUUCUACUCCCCACAUUUGUCCACAUACUUUUCUUUGACCAUGUUUGUCUCUUUCUCUUUCUUUCUGCUGUGUGGAUUGAGGGCAACAAAUGAAACUUUCCAAGAGCU
ensembl:lncRNA